rnacentral:lncRNA from 1 species
CGGGAUUACGACGCAGAUAGGGUGAUUGAGGAGAAGGUUACGAUAAGGGUGCUGUUUUGAAGGGAAGAAGGGAAUGGGGAAGAGAGGGGGAGGGUGUGGGCGUGGCGUGGGGAAAAAAGAGAAGGCAAAUGGGGAAGGGAGAAAAGAGAAAGUUCGGGGUUGAAAGGGGAAGGGCGAGGGCGAUGGUGAUGGGGUUUGGUAUGGAGGGUGCCCGACAACGGUGUCCGGAAAAGGGGAUGCCAACUUGGGUAGAGCACUAACUAGGGUUAGGUUGGAGUUUUGAAAGUAAGAAUAAGACAAAAAAGAAGAGGGCUAGGGUUUAAAUACAGUGUAAGGGCCUGUGUUGAGCUACAUGAUUGUGUCACACGGCCUCGGACACGCCCUUGUGUCCAGGCCAUGUGGCACGUACGAUCGUGUACAAUGUCAUGUGUGAUUUCCUUCGCUUCUUCCACGCACGUGUGCGAGGCCGUGUCUCCCACACACCUAUGUGUCCCGGCCGUGUCUUGAACACGACCGUGUCUCUUGC